GGACUACAUUUCCCACAGGCCACUGCAAUCAGGCCAGUUUAGCCUGGGACUAUUUUUUCCAAAGGCCACCGGGGCAACCUUGGCGUCUGCUUUUUGACCCCACUGUUGUGAUUGUUGGGGCGGCCGCGGGUUUGGACUUCCAUGACGGGAAGGGGCUGGCCCCAGGGUGCGAGCUCUGCAGACUCGGGCCGGCCCCGCGGGGUCCCAGGGACUCGCGUGAAGGAAACACUCUGGAUUUUCUAGAGUUUGCACUUCUCCAGUGGAGAGACCCCAGGGAAGACUGACCGGUUCUCACGUUUCUAAAAGCAUGGCCCACUUCCAGGGGUCGGUGACGUUCGGGGAUGUGGCUGUCGCCUUCUCUCGGCAGGAGUGGGCGAGUCUGGAUCUGGCUCAGAGGGCCUUGUACAGAGACGUCAUGCUGGAGACCUACAGCCACUUGGCCUCACUGGGUAAGUUUACCUCUGGCGAAUGAUUUAGAAUUUGCUCCCUGAAAUACUGUUUUCAUUGUACGUUUUAGAUCUGUCUUAAGAAGUGAACGUAAUUUCUUCUACCUGUUCCCAAAGAAAUGGUUUGAACUUUGUUAAGGUGGAAAUAAUGAAAUGGCAGGAUUAGAAUUCUGGGGUGUUGAUGGCAUAAACUUUGGCCAAGC
rnacentral:lncRNA from 1 species